UUAAAUUGAAGAGUUUGAUCAUGGCUCAGAUUGAACGCUGGCGGCAGGCCUAACACAUGCAAGUCGAACGGUAACAGGAAGAAGCUUGCUUUUUCGCUGACGAGUGGCGGACGGGUGAGUAAUGUCUGGGACACUGCCUGAUGGAGGGGGAUAGCUACUGGAAACGGUAGCUAAUACCGCAUAACUUC
rnacentral:rRNA from 1 species